GUGCUCACUUUGGCAGCACCUAUACCAAAAAUUGGAAAUAAACAGAGAUUAGCAUGGUCUCUGCACAAGGAUGACACCCAAAUUCAUGAAGCGUUCCAUAUUUUG
rnacentral:snRNA from 1 species